GGUUAAGCGACUAAGCGUACACGGUGGAUGCCCUGGCAGUCAGAGGCGAUGAAGGACGUGCUAAUCUGCGAUAAGCGUCGGUAAGGUGAUAUGAACCGUUAUAACCGGCGAUUUCCGAAUGGGGAAACCCAGUGUGUUUCGACACACUAUCAUUAACUGAAUCCAUAGGUUAAUGAGGCGAACCGGGGGAACUGAAACAUCUAAGUACCCCGAGGAAAAGAAAUCAACCGAGAUUCCCCCAGUAGCGGCGAGCGAACGGGGAGGAGCCCAGAGCCUGAAUCAGUGUGUGUGUUAGUGGAAGCGUCUGGAAAGGCGCGCGAUACAGGGUGACAGCCCCGUACACAAAAAUGCACAUAUUGUGAGCUCGAUGAGUAGGGCGGGACACGUGGUAUCCUGUCUGAAUAUGGGGGGACCAUCCUCCAAGGCUAAAUACUCCUGACUGACCGAUAGUGAACCAGUACCGUGAGGGAAAGGCGAAAAGAACCCCGGCGAGGGGAGUGAAAAAGAACCUGAAACCGUGUACGUACAAGCAGUGGGAGCACGCUUAGGCGUGUGACUGCGUACCUUUUGUAUAAUGGGUCAGCGACUUAUAUUCUGUAGCAAGGUUAACCGAAUAGGGGAGCCGAAGGGAAACCGAGUCUUAACUGGGCGUUAAGUUGCAGGGUAUAGACCCGAAACCCGGUGAUCUAGCCAUGGGCAGGUUGAAGGUUGGGUAACACUAACUGGAGGACCGAACCGACUAAUGUUGAAAAAUUAGCGGAUGACUUGUGGCUGGGGGUGAAAGGCCAAUCAAACCGGGAGAUAGCUGGUUCUCCCCGAAAGCUAUUUAGGUAGCGCCUCGUGAAUUCAUCUCCGGGGGUAGAGCACUGUUUCGGCAAGGGGGUCAUCCCGACUUACCAACCCGAUGCAAACUGCGAAUACCGGAGAAUGUUAUCACGGGAGACACACGGCGGGUGCUAACGUCCGUCGUGAAGAGGGAAACAACCCAGACCGCCAGCUAAGGUCCCAAAGUCAUGGUUAAGUGGGAAACGAUGUGGGAAGGCCCAGACAGCCAGGAUGUUGGCUUAGAAGCAGCCAUCAUUUAAAGAAAGCGUAAUAGCUCACUGGUCGAGUCGGCCUGCGCGGAAGAUGUAACGGGGCUAAACCAUGCACCGAAGCUGCGGCAGCGACGCUUAUGCGUUGUUGGGUAGGGGAGCGUUCUGUAAGCCUGUGAAGGUGUGCUGUGAGGCAUGCUGGAGGUAUCAGAAGUGCGAAUGCUGACAUAAGUAACGAUAAAGCGGGUGAAAAGCCCGCUCGCCGGAAGACCAAGGGUUCCUGUCCAACGUUAAUCGGGGCAGGGUGAGUCGACCCCUAAGGCGAGGCCGAAAGGCGUAGUCGAUGGGAAACAGGUUAAUAUUCCUGUACUUGGUGUUACUGCGAAGGGGGGACGGAGAAGGCUAUGUUGGCCGGGCGACGGUUGUCCCGGUUUAAGCGUGUAGGCUGGUUUUCCAGGCAAAUCCGGAAAAUCAAGGCUGAGGCGUGAUGACGAGGCACUACGGUGCUGAAGCAACAAAUGCCCUGCUUCCAGGAAAAGCCUCUAAGCAUCAGGUAACAUCAAAUCGUACCCCAAACCGACACAGGUGGUCAGGUAGAGAAUACCAAGGCGCUUGAGAGAACUCGGGUGAAGGAACUAGGCAAAAUGGUGCCGUAACUUCGGGAGAAGGCACGCUGAUAUGUAGGUGAAGUCCCUUGCGGAUGGAGCUGAAAUCAGUCGAAGAUACCAGCUGGCUGCAACUGUUUAUUAAAAACACAGCACUGUGCAAACACGAAAGUGGACGUAUACGGUGUGACGCCUGCCCGGUGCCGGAAGGUUAAUUGAUGGGGUCAGCGCAAGCGAAGCUCUUGAUCGAAGCCCCGGUAAACGGCGGCCGUAACUAUAACGGUCCUAAGGUAGCGAAAUUCCUUGUCGGGUAAGUUCCGACCUGCACGAAUGGCGUAAUGAUGGCCAGGCUGUCUCCACCCGAGACUCAGUGAAAUUGAACUCGCUGUGAAGAUGCAGUGUACCCGCGGCAAGACGGAAAGACCCCGUGAACCUUUACUAUAGCUUGACACUGAACAUUGAGCCUUGAUGUGUAGGAUAGGUGGGAGGCUUUGAAGUGUGGACGCCAGUCUGCAUGGAGCCGACCUUGAAAUACCACCCUUUAAUGUUUGAUGUUCUAACGUUGACCCCUAAUCGGGGUUGCGGACAGUGUCUGGUGGGUAGUUUGACUGGGGCGGUCUCCUCCUAAAGAGUAACGGAGGAGCACGAAGGUUGGCUAAUCCUGGUCGGACAUCAGGAGGUUAGUGCAAUGGCAUAAGCCAGCUUGACUGCGAGCGUGACGGCGCGAGCAGGUGCGAAAGCAGGUCAUAGUGAUCCGGUGGUUCUGAAUGGAAGGGCCAUCGCUCAACGGAUAAAAGGUACUCCGGGGAUAACAGGCUGAUACCGCCCAAGAGUUCAUAUCGACGGCGGUGUUUGGCACCUCGAUGUCGGCUCAUCACAUCCUGGGGCUGAAGUAGGUCCCAAGGGUAUGGCUGUUCGCCAUUUAAAGUGGUACGCGAGCUGGGUUUAGAACGUCGUGAGACAGUUCGGUCCCUAUCUGCCGUGGGCGCUGGAGAACUGAGGGGGGCUGCUCCUAGUACGAGAGGACCGGAGUGGACGCAUCACUGGUGUUCGGGUUGUCAUGCCAAUGGCACUGCCCGGUAGCUAAAUGCGGAAGAGAUAAGUGCUGAAAGCAUCUAAGCACGAAACUUGCCCCGAGAUGAGUUCUCCCUGACCCUUUAAGGGUCCUGAAGGAACGUUGAAGACGACGACGUUGAUAGGCCGGGUGUGUAAGCGCAGCGAUGCGUUGAGCUAACCGGUACUAAUGAACCGUGAGGCUUAACCUU
rnacentral:rRNA from 1 species